rnacentral:lncRNA from 1 species
GCCCUUGCUGCAAGAAGGAGGAGUAGAAGAGGCUGCUGGGGAAAGAGCUGUAAGGGGAAAAGCACCAAGUAAAGAAGUUGCUGCGUGAACCCGCCUUGGUGUCUGUGUCGUUCUUAUCUCUGUGGGUCAGAGACAGUGGCAAGUGGUGGCCCGUACAGGGAACUCAUCGUGUUGGUCAGCAACAAUGGUAAGUAAAGAAGCCUUUGAAGUUUUUGGUAAGAGCAGCGGUAGGAAAAUUUUGGUAAGAGCAGCGGUAAGGAAAUCUUGGUAAGCAGCGGUAAGUAAAGACAGGCUUCCCAGAAAAAAGGGGAUGGAGCAUUAAGGUUCUCAGGAAUACAGACGAAGGGAAUUAAAGAAAGCACAGGUCUGUCAAGUUCCCGGGGGUGGGGGUGGGGCGGGAGGGACGAAGCAUUAAGGAUCUCAGAUAUAGAGACAAAGGGAAUUUCAGCACGGGGAAAUUUUGGUAAGCAGCAGUAAGGAAAUUUUGGUAAGCAGCGGUAGGUAAAGAAAGCAUAGGCCUGACAGGUUCCCCGGAAAAAAGGGGACGGAGCACUAAGGAUCUCAGAUAUAGAGACAGAGGGAAUUUAAAUGAUAUGGGUUCAACUGCGACUAAAAUGAAAGUAAAAAUGUUAGUCAUCUGGAACUUGGUCAGGGCGUGCUUGAGGGAUGCCAGUGGAAAGUACAAUGCUGAAAUAGAGGAAGGAGCAGCUGCACUUGAGGAGGCUAAGGAGAUUGCACCUCAGGCUAGCCGCCGAAAACCUAAACAGCUUAGACAACAAAACAAAGAUAAGAAA